CCUGAAUACCCUGAUGAAGACGUAUUGAGGAAUUAAAACACUGACCUUCAGUUUGGAGCAGCAAGGCACCCGGGGCGCCUUAGUUUCAACACUCAUGAUGACCUCCGCGGUUGACACAGGGGGUCUCCAGAUUAGAGGGGUGUCUCAGUAGGCCCCGCAGAGGAAAGGUUGAGAGCCCCUGGCAGCCAUAGAAACGGAUCCUGAUUGGUAGGUAAUAGUGCACCUAUAUAGCUCUGAUAGGAUUAGCAACUUUCUUUGAAUUCAGCUAAUCAAUGCUGACGUUAAUGUAUCAGGUUAAUCUCAAUCGAUACUCAUGUUAAUUAAAUUCAUGCAAAUUCGUCAACAAAAGUCAACUGAUUGUGAUACGUAAACGGUUGUUCAAUGCAGAGGCUUCAGUACUUUAUUGGAAAUGAAUCAGCAAAAUCAAAGUGGUUACAGUUCUUGAAAUGAACGUUUCAAUAAAAUAAGAAAAUCACUUUCAAA